CCUACGGGUGGCUGCAGUGAGGAAUAUUGGUCAAUGGACGAGAGUCUGAACCAGCCAAGUAGCGUGAAGGAUGACUGCCCUAUGGGUUGUAAACUUCUUUUAUAUGGGAAUAAAAUGUUCCACGUGUGGGAUUUUGUAUGUACCAUAUGAAUAAGGACCGGCUAACUCCGUGCCAGCAGCCGCGGUAAUACGGAGGUUCCGAGCGUUAUCCGGAUUUAUUGGGUUUAAAGGGAGCGUAGGUGGAUUGUUAAGCCAGUUGUGAAAGUUUGCGGCUCAACCGUGGAAUUGCAGUUGAAACUGGCUGGCUUGAGUGCAGUAGAGGUGGGCGGAAUUCGUGGUGUAGCGGUGAAAUGCUUAGAUAUCACGAAGAACUCCGAUUGCGAAGGCAGUUCACUGGACUGCAACUGACACUGAGGCUCGAAAGUGUGGGUAUCAAACAGGAUUAGAUACCCUUGUAGUC
rnacentral:rRNA from 1 species